AGUAACACGUGAGCAACCUGCCCUGGACUCUGGGAUAAGCGCUGGAAACGGUGUCUAAUACUGGAUAUGAGCUCUCAUCGCAUGGUGGGGGUUGGAAAGAUUUUUCGGUCUGGGAUGGGCUCGCGGCCUAUCAGCUUGUUGGUGAGGUAAUGGCUCACCAAGGCGUCGACGGGUAGCCGGCCUGAGAGGGUGACCGGCCACACUGGGACUGAGACACGGCCCAGACUCCUACGGGAGGCAGCAGUGGGGAAUAUUGCACAAUGGGCGGAAGCCUGAUGCAGCAACGCCGCGUGAGGGAUGACGGCCUUCGGGUUGUAAACCUCUUUUAGCAGGGAAGAAGCGAGAGUGACGGUACCUGCAGAAAAAGCGCCGGCUAACUACGUGCCAGCAGCCGCGGUAAUACGUAGGGCGCAAGCGUUAUCCGGAAUUAUUGGGCGUAAAGAGCUCGUAGGCGGUUUGUCGCGUCUGCUGUGAAAUCCCGAGGCUCAACCUCGGGCCUGCAGUGGGUACGGGCAGACUAGAGUGCGGUAGGGGAGAUUGGAAUUCCUGGUGUAGCGGUGGAAUGCGCAGAUAUCAGGAGGAACACCGAUGGCGAAGGCAGAUCUCUGGGCCGUAACUGACGCUGAGGAGCGAAAGGGUGGGGAGCAAACAGGCUUAGAUACCCUGGUAGUCCACCCCGUAAACGUUGGGAACUAGUUGUGGGGACCAUUCCACGGUUUCCGUGACGCAGCUAACGCAUUAAGUUCCCCGCCUGGGGAGUACGGCCGCAAGGCUAAAACUCAAAGGAAUUGACGGGGACCCGCACAAGCGGCGGAGCAUGCGGAUUAAUUCGAUGCAACGCGAAGAACCUUACCAAGGCUUGACAUACACCAGAACACCGUAAAAAUACGGGACUCUUUGGACACUGGUGAACAGGUGGUGCAUGGUUGU
rnacentral:rRNA from 1 species